rnacentral:rRNA from 1 species
UGGGGAAUAUUGGACAAUGGGCGAAAGCCUGAUCCAGCAAUUCCGCGUGUGUGAAGAAGGCCUUCGGGUUGUAAAGCACUUUAGUGAGGGAAGAAAAAGCUUGGCAACACCAAGUGUUGACGGUACCUCAAGAAUAAGCACCGGCUAACUCUGUGCCAGCAGCCGCGGUAAUACAGAGGGUGCAAGCGUUAAUCGGAUUUACUGGGCGUAAAGGGUGUGUAGGUGGUUUUGUAAGUCGGAUGUGAAAUCCCCGGGCUUAACCUGGGAACUGCAUUCGAUACUGCAAGACUAGAGUUCUGUAGAGGGCGGUGGAAUUUCCGGUGUAGCAGUGAAAUGCGUAGAUAUCGGAAGGAACAUCAAUGGCGAAGGCAGCCGCCUGGGCAUGAACUGACACUGAGAC